UCUCAUCGAUGAAAAAGGACCAAGCACAGA
rnacentral:piRNA from 1 species